rnacentral:tRNA from 1 species
CCCUGGCUGGCUCAGUUGGUGGAGCAUGUGACUCUUGAUCUUGGAGUUGUGGGUUUGAAUCCCACACUGGGUA